rnacentral:rRNA from 1 species
GUUGGGUAGGGGAGCGUUCUGUAAGCCUGCGAAGGUGUACUGUGAGGUAUGCUGGAGGUAUCAGAAGUGCGAAUGCUGACAUAAGUAACGAUAAUGCGGGUGAAAAACCCGCACGCCGGAAGACCAAGGGUUCCUGUCCAACGUUAAUCGGGGCAGGGUGAGUCGACCCCUAAGGCGAGGCUGAAAAGCGUAGUCGAUGGGAAACGGGUUAAUAUUCCCGUACUGGUGGUAACUGCGAUGGGGGAACGGAGAAGGCUAGGUUGUCCGGGCGACGGUCGUCCCGGUUCAAGCAUGUAGGCAGAGUGAUUAGGCAAAUCCGGUCACUUAAUGCUGAGGUGUGAUGACGAGCCACUAAGGUGGUGAAGCAAUUGAUGCCCUGCUUCCAGGAAAAGCCUCUAAGCUUCAGGUUACCAACAAUCGUACCCCAAACCGACACAGGUGGUCAGGUAGAGAAUACUCAGGCGCUUGAGAGAACUCGGGUGAAGGAACUAGGCAAAAUGGUGCCGUAACUUCGGGAGAAGGCACGCUGGCGGUAAGUGAAGUCCCUUGCGGACGGAGCCGAAGCCAGUCGAAGAUACCAGCUGGCUGCAACUGUUUAUUAAAAACACAGCACUGUGCAAACACGAAAGUGGACGUAUACGGUGUGACGCCUGCCCGGUGCUGGAAGGUUAAUUGAUGGGGUUAUCCUUAGGGAGAAGCUCUUGAUCGAAGCCCCAGUAAACGGCGGCCGUAACUAUAACGGUCCUAAGGUAGCGAAAUUCCUUGUCGGGUAAGUUCCGACCUGCACGAAUGGCGUAAUGAUGGCCAGGCUGUCUCCACCCGAGACUCAGUGAAAUUGAACUCGCUGUGAAGAUGCAGUGUACCCGCGGCAAGACGGAAAGACCCCGUGAACCUUUACUAUAGCUUGACACUGAACAUUGAGCCUUGAUGUGUAGGAUAGGUGGGAGACUAUGAAGUGUGGACGCCAGUCUGCAUGGAGUCAACCUUGAAAUACCACCCUUUAACGUUUGAUGUUCUAACCUAGGCCCAUAAUCUGGGUCGGGGACCGUGUCUGGUGGGUAGUUUGACUGGGGCGGUCUCCUCCUAAAGAGUAACGGAGGAGCACGAAGGUUGGCUAAGCAUGGUCGGACAUCAUGCGGUUAGUGCAAAGGCAUAAGCCAGCUUGACUGUGAGAGUGACGGCUCGAGCAGGUACGAAAGUAGGUCUUAGUGAUCCGGUGGUUCUGAAUGGAAGGGCCAUCGCUCAACGGAUAAAAGGUACUCCGGGGAUAACAGGCUGAUACCGCCCAAGAGUUCAUAUCGACGGCGGUGUUUGGCACCUCGAUGUCGGCUCAUCACAUCCUGGGGCUGAAGUAGGUCCCAAGGGUAUGGCUGUUCGCCAUUUAAAGUGGUACGCGAGCUGGGUUUAGAACGUCGUGAGACAGUUCGGUCCCUAUCUGCCGUGGGCGUUGGAAGAUUGAGAGGGGUUGCUCCUAGUACGAGAGGACCGGAGUGAACGCACCACUGGUGUUCGGGUUGUCAUGCCAAUGGCAUUGCCCGGUAGCUAAGUGCGGAAGAGAUAACCGCUGAAAGCAUCUAAGCGGGAAACUUGCCUCGAGAUGAGUCUUCCCUGUCACCUAGAGUGACCUAAAGGAACGUUUAAGACUAAGACGUUGAUAGGCUGGGUGUGUAAGCGUAGCGAUACGUUGAGCUAACCAGUACUAAUGAACCGUGAGGCUUAACCUG